UGAACCCAGGAUGUUGUGCAUGUCAGGUAAGUGUUCUACCACUGAGCCACAUCCCAAGCCCUGAUCACUUCUUUUUGUACAGGAAAUUUCACAUACAUUAUUAGAUCUCAUUGUUAAAAUAACCUUGCUAAAUAGGUACUAUUGUUAGUCUUUGGAAAAAAUAGGCCUAGACAAUUACAUAAUUUGCUCAAAUCAGAGGUACAAAGGGGCAAUGCUGAGAUUAGAACCAAAUCUUUGACCUUUAAAUCUAUCUUUAGAAGAUCUCUAAAGAUUUCUCUUACAUGAAGUCAUAGAGGAGGAUACUUUUAAGUGACACGGGGGCUCUUGCACCCGGUUGAACUGUGCCAGUGUGGGCAGGGGUGCCCAGGAGAGACACUUUGGCAGGUAAAGUGGAGAGAAGGGGCUACUGGAGGGCACAGCUGCUCUGUGAAGGGGUGACUAACACUGCCAUGCAUCAGCCUCGGCUGGUCAGGAAACAUCCUCUUCCCAUCCCAGGCUGCGUCCUACCCAAGGGGGCUGCCACUGGACCCUACCCCUGGGCUUGAUAGAGCUGCCCAAAGGGAAGGACCAGGCCCCCCCAGAGAGCAUGGAUUCGGUGCUCUCUGUCCAUGUGUCUGUCCAUCUUGGAGCUCUGUCUGCACUGCUGGCUGCUGCCAUGGAGCUUGCAGGCUGUAGGAGGCAGGUGGUAAACAGGAAAUGGUUAAGUAGGAGCAGGUGGAGUGGGUGCGGUGCUGGAACAGGCAGGAAAUAGCUGAGCAGCUGAAUGGACUCACAAGAAUGCUUUGCCAACUCCCCAAGGCUGGGGCAAAGGCGCCGGCUGCCCCCUCCUCCCAGCCCUGCACAGCGAGGUGUCUGGCCUGGCAGCGCCUGGCUGGCCCCACUGUCCUCCUCGGUUCUGCCUGGGGCUGAAAGGAGCAGGCCACGGGGCUAGGAGGAGAAUGGUGGUUCCUACAGGGGCGUGAGUGACCGGCUUUGAGGGUGCAGGUUAUGAGGGGCUACAGGAGGUGGACAAGAUUGCCAAGGACCUGGAGUGCUUUUCCUCUUCUGGUUCUUUGUUCCCCAGAGGGCCCUUUGGAUUGACUGGGACCCCCCAGGAGCGGUCGGUCCCACCCUCGGUCGAGCAUGCUGCCAGCUGGCUACUGGAUGUGGGCAGGAGCUGAACACCCCAGGCUUUUUUCAGCCUCCCAUUUGUUCCUUGUAAUACAGGUGCCUCUAAGUGUGUGUGUGGGGGGCUCUCAGGAGAGACAGGAAGCCGAAGCGCAGGAAAGUGAGAAGGGCUGGGGCGUGAGCGCCUUUGAGCCUCCACACCCUCCCCUGUCCUCCCUCGGUUCCACUAUGGCUCUCACCUUUAGAUUCCUCUUGGCUUGAAGGGCUGCCCCUUGCUCUAGUAUAAAACCAGGUGCUCUUGGUCCUCAUUUGUCCCCUUCUCAGGAAAGCUUAGCUCGGGGCUGACAGCUUUGCUUCCCAGGGCAGGCGCACCUCACGCUGGCCCGUGGGUUUCCUCGCUGCGGAGCAGAAGUCUGGCCGCUCUAGCCUUGAAGUGUUGCUGACAUAUCUCUGUCUAUGAACCCCCAGCAGCCAGGCAUGAACUCCCAGCUCAGCAGCUUUACCGUGGGGGCUGUAGCCUCAUGGUUGCAUCUAGCUCCUCAGAUGGACCUGACCCUUGCUGGAGAGGGGUUGACAAGUUGUGGGAAGAAGCUGUGCUCCCAGGUUUUCUCAGGAGCAGGAGACAGCAAAGGGGUCUCACACACAAACUCUUAAUAGCAACCCCAUUUUAUUGGUUAUUUAUUUUACUCCCAUAUAGUAUGUAUUUCAGUAAGUGCAUGCAUGCAUUUAUAUAUACAUGUUUUGAAUCAUUUAAUCCCCAGUACAACCCAAAGAAGAGGUACUUUCCCACUUCAUGGACAAGAAGCUGAGGCCCAGAGAAGGGAGAUACGCUGUCCUCGUGGUAGUGAUGUAGUGGGUUCCCUUCUCUGCACUCAAGCCUGGGCAGCUUGGCCUGGAGUCUGCACUCUGACCCGGUACUGUGCUACCUGGGUGAGGAGACUUUGGAGGAGGCCAGAGGGGACCGUGUGGACAAAGGCUGGGAGGCUUGGGACGGUCAGUUUGUAAGUGGGUGGACAUCCCAUCACACCAUUGUCAAUGCCGUUUAUGAAGUAGUGAGGGUGGCACCAGCAACAUGGAAACGCACAGGAGGGACAGACCCCUAAUGGUUCCAGAGAGCUACUUGGUUAAAGAGCAGUUUCUUGAGGGCUUUGGUGAUCACUGCACAGACUCCUCUCUCAACACCUAAGCCCACAUUCCUAGCCACUGGACACAUGGACCUGCCUAACAUGACUGCCUCCAAGCUUUUGUACCUGCUGUGCCCUCUGUCUCUGCUAAGCUCCAUGUAUCUUUCAAGCUGAGACUCCCCUGCCUACAGUCUGGAUCCUCAUGGAAAGAGCUGAGCCAUGAUUAUGCAUAUUCCCAGCCUGGCACUGUAACAACUGCAGGCCCUGUAUCUAAUCCCCUAACACUCAGGCAGCACUCAAAGGUCCUGAGUGCCUGAAGCAGGUGGCGAAACCGCUGAGCUAAAUCCCCAGCCCUAUCCUCUUGGAUCUACACCAGAAGGCCUCUUGUUAACAGACAAGUACCACAAGGCCCAGGACAGGGCUAGCAUGUCACUGCAUCACGUCCCUAGACUCUCAUAUGACCAGAGACCUCAUGAUAUAUUAAUCAGCUGCUUGAAAGGUGCAUAUGGCAGGCGUGUUCUCUGCACCCUGGAAGAUACUAACUUUGUCAGCUUUGAAACAUCAAAAGGCUCCCAGGGAACAGGCUGAGAGAGACACAUCACUGGGCUUCCUUUGACCACAGGCUUGCGCAGCCAUGGCCUGACUCAGCGGAAACUGGUGUGGAGCUCGGAGGUUGUGGGGACUUCUGCACUGUGAGGACCUGCUCUUGGCCCCCUUCUGGGCAAAAGGAGGGAGAAUCUAAACAGUGGUCCACACUUAGUACCUCAGAUGUCACUGCUGCCACAAAGGCAAAUCUGUGUGGGGGUGGGCACUUGUGACCUCCUCCCGUAUGACCCGGGGGGUCAACAAUGUCACUGGUGUUCACACACUGAGUCUGUCACCCCAGGCCCAUGUUGACAGGCCUGAUCCCAAGUUCUGGGUUAUAGGAAAGACUUGGCCUCAAGCAGGGCCUGGGCCCUCAGGAAGACAACAGGCCUCAGGUACUUCAUGCACGAUAAGUCAGGUGAGGCUCCAUAGUUCUCCAUACUGGGGCUCCAUAUUCACUAGACGAUAGACACCAGCAUUAAUGUUAGUACAGUUUGUGCGUUAUAAGAUGGCCUUGGGCCUUUCUCUCUCCCAAUCAGCUAGAAUGUCUGACAUAGUGAAUUCCAGAUACCCUUGUGGAAUUUUCAUUACGAUCAGGUUGCUAAGGAACUAUCCUCUAUCUAUAAGCAUUUUGGAAACACUAACAUCAGCAGAGGGUUUUUUGCAGCAUGUGUGGGUUUUUAAAAAUGUAUUUAUUACUCUUUCUUCUCCUACCCAUCCUGGCUCACCCUCUAAGGAGCUGGCUGGCAUCAGGAAACUCCAGAAAGAAGGAAGAAGGAAUGCAGAAGGAAUGGAAAAGUUUUCCCAGGCUUCACAUGCAGACAGAGGUUGUGUCUAUAUUGUUUGCCAGUGAAUUCCCAAGGCUUUGUGUGGCAGGCAGACAGAGGUUUGGAUUAAUGUAGUCAUUGCUGUACACCAAGGUUCGGGUUAGUGACAGCCCACAUACUAGACAGUGGCCCCAUAAGAUCAUGCUGGAGGUAAAAAAUUUCUGUCACCUAAUGACAUUAUAGUCAUUGUAAAAUGUAGUGCAUACAACAUAUUACUCACGUUUGUGAUGCUGGUCUAAACAAACCUACUAUGCAGCCAGUCAUGUAACUACACAACUACAUAUAGUACAUAACACUUGAUAAUGCAAAUAAAUGACUGUGCUACUGGUUAUGUAUUCUAGUCUACCUAUAUUGUAUGGGUUCUUUUUCUUUCUUUAGGAUUUUUUUUUUGUCCAUUGUUUAGUUUAUUUUCCUUUUUUCU